rnacentral:rRNA from 1 species
GUAGGUGGCAAGCGUUGUCCGGAAUUAUUGGGCGUAAAGCGCGCGCAGGUGGUUCUUUAAGUCUGAUGUGAAAGACCCCCGGGCUCAACCGGGGAGGGUCAUUGAAAAACUGGGGAACUUGAGUGCAGGAGAGGAAAGUGGAAUUCCACGUGUAGCGGUGAAAUGCGUAGAUAUGUGGAGGAACACCAGUGGCGAAGGCGACUUUCUGGCCUGUAACUGACACUGAGGCGCGAAAGCGUGGGGAGCAAACAGGAUUAGAUACCCUGGUAGUCCACGCCGUAAACGAUGAGUGCUAAGUGUUGGGGGGUUUCCGCCCCUCAGUGCUGCAGCUAACGCAUUAAGCACUCCGCCUGGGGAGUACGGUCGCAAAGACUG